rnacentral:rRNA from 1 species
GGACUACGGGUAACAUAAGAUGCGCUCUUACAAGACCUUCGGGUCUAAUGGCGCACGGGUGCGUAACGCGAGGGAAUCUGCCCUUGGGUUCGGAAUAACAGUUAGAAAUGACUGCUAAUACCGGAUGAAGUCUUCGGACCAAAGAUUUAUCGCCCAGGGAUGAGCCCGCGUAGGAUUAGGUAGUUGGUGGGGUAAUGGCCCACCAAGCCGACGAUCCUUAGCUGGUCUGAGAGGAUGAUCAGCCACACUGGGACUGAGACACGGCCCAGACUCCUACGGGAGGCAGCAGUGGGGAAUAUUGGACAAUGGGCGCAAGCCUGAUCCAGCAAUGCCGCGUGAGUGAUGAAGGCCUUAGGGUUGUAAAGCUCUUUUACCAGGGAUGAUAAUGACAGUACCUGGAGAAUAAGCUCCGGCUAACUCCGUGCCAGCAGCCGCGGUAAUACGGAGGGAGCUAGCGUUGUUCGGAAUUACUGGGCGUAAAGCGCACGUAGGCGGCUAUUCAAGUCGGGGGUGAAAGCCCGGGGCUCAACCCCGGAACUGCCCUCGAAACUAGGUAGCUAGAAUCUUGGAGAGGUCAGUGGAAUUCCGAGUGUAGAGGUGAAAUUCGUAGAUAUUCGGAAGAACACCAGUGGCGAAGGCGACUGACUGGA